rnacentral:rRNA from 1 species
GACGAACGCUGGCGGCGUGCUUAACACAUGCAAGUCGAACGGAAAGGCCCUGCUUUUGUGGGGUGCUCGAGUGGCGAACGGGUGAGUAACACGUGAGUAACCUGCCCUUGACUUUGGGAUAACUUCAGGAAACUGGGGCUAAUACCGGAUAGGAGCUCCUGCUGCAUGGUGGGGGUUGGAAAGUUUCGGCGGUUGGGGAUGGACUCGCGGCUUAUCAGCUUGUUGGUGGGGUAGUGGCUUACCAAGGCUUUGACGGGUAGCCGGCCUGAGAGGGUGACCGGCCACAUUGGGCCUGAGGUACGGCCCAGACUCCUACGGUAGGCAGCAGUGGGGAAUAUUGCACAAUGGGCGGAAGCCUGAUGCAGCAACGCCGCGUGCGGGAUGACGGCCUUCGGGUUGUAAACCGCUUUCGCCUGUGACGAAGCGUGAGUGACGGUAAUGGGUAAAGAAGCACCGGCUAACUACGUG